UACGUAGGGGGAUAGCGUUGUCCGGAAUCAUUGGGCGUAAAGCGCGUGUAGGCGGCCCGGUAAGUCCGCUGUGAAAGUCGGGGGCUCAACCCUCGGAUGCCGGUGGAUACUGUCGGGCUCGAGUACGGAAGAGGCGAGUGGAAUUCCUGGUGUAGCGGUGAAAUGCGCAGAUAUCAGGAGGAACACCGAUUGCGAAGGCAGCUCGCUGGGACGUGACUGACGCUGAGACGCGAAAGCGUGGGGAGCAAACAGG
rnacentral:rRNA from 1 species